GGGUGUUUAGCUCAGUCGGAAGAGCGAUUGACUUCGAAUCAAUAGGUCGCAGGUUCGAACCCUGCAUCACUCA
rfam:Dictyostelium fasciculatum unplaced genomic scaffold Scf_Dfasci-G-o-33e01.r1-3, whole genome shotgun sequence.